GGACAUUUUUUUACGAAAACUGAAAUCUAAAAUUUGAAAAACAAUUUUAAAUUUGGAAAACAGUUUUCCUUCAUAACAAAAGGAAAUGUCUAUUCAAUAUUAAAAUAUCAAGUUUUAGGUUGAUCCGACCAAAAAUUCCAGAGUUUGAAACUUGAGCAAUAUUAUAGAACGUGGAGGUAUCAAAGCCUCUUCUAUACAAAUGGACAGAAUUACCUUUGGAAGAAUCAUUGUCUUAGCAAUCAUUGAAGGAGGUGGCGAUGACUUGAUGACAUCAUCACUGGUGGCAGUAGCAGUUUGAAUGGGCUCUUUAGUCUCCUUCAAUGGUUUAGUUGUUAAAGGAGUUCCUGUGACAACCUUUGCUUCAGUAUCCUUUUGUUCUGUUGGUGGUGCAGGUGCAGCCACUGGCUCAGACAGCUUUGUUUCAUUGCUAGCUACUUCUUUUUUAGGUUCAAUGCAUGAGCUGUAAUGCUGGACAUUAUAAACAAGAACCUCAGCUUCAACUAUAAGGGUAUCGGCC
rnacentral:misc_RNA from 1 species